AAGUCGUAACAAGGUUUCCGUAGGUGAACCUGCGGAAGGAUCAUUAUCACGUAUCCACGUAUCAACCAUUGUGAACCGUUCUUAACCUUUGUGGUGAGACCAAGAUAGUGUGCGUUUAAACAUUAAGCAGUUUUUGUGAUUAACUGUGUUUAGAUGCGCCAUGAUUAAGUGUUUUCGGACUCUUUCUCAUGCUUGCUCACUGCAAAGUGUAUUUUAAUCACUAUUUAUUAACCAUUUUAACCCAACCUUUAUAACUUUUUGAACUAACUUAUUUUAUACUCUUCGGAGAUAAAAUUCAUUACGAAACAAAGAACAACUCUUAGCAACGGAUAUCUUGGUUCUCGUAACGAUGAAGAACGCAG
rnacentral:misc_RNA from 1 species